AUGCCUGCUGCCUGUGAUUACACCUGCUAUCUGAAACUUCCAUGUAGCUUUUUCUCAGCAUUCGUCACUACCACUGAGGCAGUAGUCCA
rnacentral:snoRNA from 1 species